UACGUAGGAGACGAGCGUUGUCCGGAUUCAUUGGGCGUAAAGGGUGCGUAGGCGGCGCGGUAAGUCGGGUGUGAAAUCUUGGAGCUUAACUCCGAAACUGCAUUCGAUACUGCCGUGCUUGAGGACUGGAGAGGAGACUGGAAUUUACGGUGUAGCGGUGAAAUGCGUAGAUAUCGUAAGGAAGACCAGUGGCGAAGGCGGGUCUCUGGACAGUUCCUGACGCUGAGGCACGAAGGCCAGGGGAGCAAACGGG
rnacentral:rRNA from 1 species